UACAGAGGGUGCAAGCGUUGUUCGGAAUUAUUGGGCGUAAAGGGCGCGUAGGCGGUGCCACAAGUCACCUGUGAAAUCUCCGGGCUUAACUCGGAGCCUGCAGGCGAAACUGUGGUGCUGGAGUGUGGGAGAGGUGCGUGGAAUUCCCGGUGUAGCGGUGAAAUGCGUAGAUAUCAGGAGGAACACCAAUUGCGAAGGCAGCUCGCUGGGACGUUACUGACGCUGAGACGCGAAAGCGUGGGGAGCAAACAGG
rnacentral:rRNA from 1 species